rnacentral:rRNA from 1 species
CCUACGGGAGGCUGCAGUGGGGAAUAUUGGACAAUGGGCGAAAGCCUGAUCCAGCCAUGCCGCGUGUGUGAAGAAGGCCUUCGGGUUGUAAAGCACUUUCAGUGGGGAAGAAAGCCUUGGGGCUAAUACCCUCGAGGAAGGACAUCACCCACAGAAGAAGCACCGGCUAACUCCGUGCCAGCAGCCGCGGUAAUACGGAGGGUGCGAGCGUUAAUCGGAAUUACUGGGCGUAAAGCGCGCGUAGGCGGUCUGGUAAGCCGGUUGUGAAAGCCCCGGGCUCAACCUGGGAACGGCAUCCGGAACUGUCAGGCUAGAGUGCAGGAGAGGAAGGUAGAAUUCCCGGUGUAGCGGUGAAAUGCGUAGAGAUCGGGAGGAAUACCAGUGGCGAAGGCGGCCUUCUGGACUGACACUGACGCUGAGGUGCGAAAGCGUGGGUAGCAAACAGGAUUAGAUACCCCUGUAGUC